AAGGGGUGUAUUUAUUAGAUAAAAAACCAAUGCGGGUUUUGCUCGCCUUUGUGUUGAAUCAUAGUAACUUCUCGAACGGCAUGGCCUUGCGCUGGCCGUAGAUCAUUCAAAUUUCUGCCCUAUCAGCUUUCGACGGUAGUGUAGUGGACUACCGUGGCGUUAACGGGUAACGGGGAAUUAGGGUUCGAUUCCGGAGAGGGAGCCUGAGAAACGGCUACCACAUCCAAGGAAGGCAGCAGGCGCGCAAAUUACCCAAUCCCGACACGGGGAGGUAGUGACAAUAAAUACUGAUACAGGGCCCUUUCGGGUCAUGUAAUUGGAAUGAGUACAAUUUAAAUCCAUUAACGAGGAACAAUUGGAGGGCAAGUCUGGUGCCAGCAGCCGCGGUAAUUCCAGCUCCAAUAGCGUAUAUUAAAGUUGUUGCAGUUAAAAAGCUCGUAGUUGAACCUUGGGCCUGGCUGGCGGGUCCGCCUCACCGCGUGCACUCGUCCGGCCGGGCCUUCCUUCUGAAGAACCUCAUGCCCUUCACUGGGCGUGCUGGGGAACCAGGACUUUUAC
rnacentral:rRNA from 1 species